UAUAAAAAAAAAUUGAAGAAGUGGGUAACAAGGAAAUUUUCAUAUUUUUCUCUCUUUCACCAAUAACAUAACACGUACAUUGCGCAGACAUGAGGUCCGACCGAAUGCACCUUAGGGCAAGUUCACCGGGCCUCCUUUUGCCCGGGCACCACGUCAUAUCAUGACCCAAGUCAGGAAAAAGUCCAAAAUGUUGCUUCCACCGAGCUUGGGGCAAGCCAAUAGUAAUUGACCCAGGACAAUUGCUCAGUCAACUUGGUGACUGAGGUCGUGACCCAGGGCUCCACUGUGGCACAAAGGCAGGAGAGAAGGAGAGGCACGUGGAAGGCCAGAAAAGCAAGUAGCUGGGCUGCUUUGAAAUCUGGGUCGUUGGGUUUGAAUGUGAAAAUGAUCCUACGGUGGAUACUUAAGGACGAAUGAAGGUGAAAAAAAAAAAAUCAGUUAGAUUACA
rnacentral:lncRNA from 1 species